GCCUACGUGGUGUAAAGGUCAGCACACUGAGCCGGUAUUUCAGAGGUCCGCGGUUCGAUUCCCGGCGAAGGCA
rnacentral:tRNA from 1 species